rnacentral:rRNA from 1 species
GACGAACGCUGGCGGCGUGCUUAACACAUGCAAGUCGAACGGUGAAGCGCCUUCCUUUUUGGUGGGUGUGGAUGAGUGGCGAACGGGUGAGUAACACGUGAGUAACCUGCCCCCUUCUUCUGGAUAACCGCAUGAAAGUGUGGCUAAUACGGGAUAUUCUGGGUCUGUCGCAUGAUGGGUCUGGGAAAGAUAUUGUUUCGGUGGGGGAUGGGCUCGCGGCCUAUCAGCUUGUUGGUGGGGUGAUGGCCUACCAAGGCGGUGACGGGUAGCCGGCCUGAGAGGGUGGACGGUCACACUGGGGAUGAGACACGGCCCAGACUCCUACGGGAGGCAGCAGUGGGGAAUAUUGCACAAUGGGCGCAAGCCUGAUGCAGCGACGCCGCGGGAGGGAUGGAGGCCUGCGGGUUGUGAACCUCUUUCGCCAGUGAAGCAGGCCUGCCUCGUUUGUGGGUGGGUUGACGGUAGCUGGAUAAGAAGCGCCGGCUAACUACGUG